GUCCAGGGGCGGGAAUCGAACCCACACCCUUCUGCUUACCGGGCAGGUGCCAUGUCCACUAGGCUACCCUGGA